rnacentral:rRNA from 1 species
AGGACGAACGCUGGCGGCGUGCUUAACACAUGCAAGUCGAGCGGAAAGGCCCUUCGGGGUACUCGAGCGGCGAACGGGUGAGUAACACGUGAGCAACCUGCCCUUAGCUCCGGGAUAGCUCCGGGAAACCGGAAUUAAUACCGGAUAUGACCUAGGCCGACAUCGGCUGUGGUGGAAAGUUUUUCGGCUGGGGAUGGACUCGCGGCCUAUCAGCUUGGUUGGUGGGUAAUGGCCUACCGAAGGCGACGACGGGUA